CCUACGGGAGGCAGCAGUAAGGAAUAUUGGUCAAUGGAGGCAACUCUGAACCAGCCAUGCCGCGUGCAGGAAGAAGGCCCUAUGGGUCGUAAACUGCUUUUGUACCAGAGAAAACCCGAGUACGUGUACUCGGUUGAUAGUAUGGUAAGAAUAAGCAUCGGCUAACUUCGUGCCAGCAGCCGCGGUAAGACGAAGGAUGCAAGCGUUAUCCGGAUUCAUUGGGUUUAAAGGGUGCGUAGGCGGACUGAUAAGUCAGUGGUGAAAUCUCUCGGCUUAACCGAGAAACUGCCAUUGAUACUGUUAGUCUAGAGUAUAGAUGACGUUGGCGGAAUAUGACAUGUAGUGGUGAAAUACUUAGAUAUGUCAUAGAACACCGAUUGCGAAGGCAGCUAACGAAACUAUAACUGACGCUGAGCACGAAAGUGCGGGGAUCAAACAGGAUUAGAUACCCUGGUAGUCCGCACCGUAAACGAUAGAUUACUCGUUGUUGGCAAUAUGACCGUCAGCGACCAAGCGAAAGCGAUAAGUAAUCCACCUGGGGAGUACGCCGGCAACGGUGAAACUCAAAAGAGUAGUAGACGNGAGAGACGACGACGACGACGACGAGGAGGGAGGAGG
rnacentral:rRNA from 1 species